rnacentral:tRNA from 2 species
GUUAAAGUGGCAGAGCCCGGACACUGCAAAAGACCUAAGCCCUUUCCACGGAGGUUCAAAUCCUCCCUUUAACU